AAUUUGCGACAUGUCGAAGAAAUAAAUAUGCAAGCCCUCACAUUGCCCUCAUGAUUGUUGCUUCUGAAUUGUACAUGUUGAAUAGAAGCCAGAAUAUCCUGAAACACUUGGUGACAUUGCUGACCUCACAAUAUCUUUGUAUAGCAUAAAAAUGAAGAAACAAAGAAGUAAUGUUCCAGUAUAUUUGCAGAGGUGAAAUAUUAACGCCAGUUCGAGCACACCGGCCUCGAUGGCAAGAGACCACUACCAUCAGGAUAUGCAUUGUGAUUGAACAUGAGAAAUCCUUUACCUCCCUGUACUUCAAGGUGUGUUCUGCUCUAAAAUGACAAGCACCCAACGAAGUGAGAGCGCAAACCACAUGUUGAAGAGUUAUAUGCCACCUGCUAGCCCGAUGCACAUUUUUUUGAGGCAGUAUAUGAGGCUCCAGUUUGACCGUGGGAGGGAGGAAAGUUAUGAAAGGACUAUUUGUCAGAAAAACUGAUGGAGGUGUCAUCAGGAGAGCAAAUCUGGCAAAUGGCAAUAGAGCAGCAUGCAAGCAAAGUGUACACUCGUGCUAUGUUUUGGAGCCCCGUCGAAAGGUUUGGAGGCCCAGGAAGGUAGUGUUGGGGCGUCCGUCGGCGUGAAUGCGCUUCAAUGACUAGCACCACCGGAGUAGCAGAGAGGUGUAGGGAGGCCGUCGAACAGCCGGGAGAAAGCACCACACGAGGGUCUGAGAAAGCAUACCAGGUUUUGCAGCAUCUGCCCGCGUGAAGGCCACAAGCAGACGACAUGCCCUGAUCGUGGAGAUGCACCUAAACAGCCCCGCAAACCCGGAAAGUGCAAGAACUGUUGAAUGGAAAGGCGCCGCAGGAACACGUGCACACGCCUACUGGGUGGUGCACAGAUGUAGUCUAGAAGAUUUAAAAUUUCGUGUGUAAUGUGUGAUUCAAGGAUUUUCUGGUGUGUGUUGUGAGCCAUGCUCCACGAUUGUUCCUCCAGUGCUUAAUCUUAGUGCUGUUGUAUUCCAUAGUGUUGUAUGGUAAGUCCGUAACUCAACAGAACUUCACAAUUAUGAUAGAAGAAAUGUUGGGCGUGACA